rnacentral:antisense_RNA from 1 species
UCUCCCUAAGAAAAAGAAUGACAAAUGUUAUGGCACUGUCUAAAAGCACUUAAAGAAUCCAGAGGAAGAAUGUUCCAAAAAUCCGCGGCAAGACUAAAUAUUUGGGGUGUGAUGUGUGACAAUCAAGAGCCUUAAAAGAAGUUUUCAGUCUUCAGUACACACUUGAUAUGAGGCAACCAAAAAAAAUACUUGAUCUACCAACAACAUAUGGUAAGAACAACAUAUGUUGAGCAAACCUACGUAUUUUCCGUGUGAACUUACGCUGUGUGACUUCCAUCUCCGGAAAAUAAGAAAACUUUUCAUUACACAUAUUGCCCUCACAGCAACAAAAAUAUACUUCAGGGCUGUCUUUUUUUUCUACACAAUCAGUCCUAUAAAUAAGCAGAGAAAAAAUAAUUAAAAUCAAUAUUAUACUGACCCUACAA